AUUACUUGUUUCAAGAAGACGUGUUGACUUGUAGAUGUGAUGAGUUUCAAAUGAAUAAGUGCAUGUUUUGCAUUGAAAUAAAGUUGAUCUUAUGGGACAUCAUUCCAUUAUGGCCAACUACUACUACCCACUCUUAUGGUCACUGCUGAUGUGGUAUGGUCAAAUUUCAUUUUUGAUGUGGGGGGGAGGAAAGUGUCCACCUGUUCCUCCGCAUGUUAUAUUGAUAAAAUCUCGGUUAUGGUGAGGGUACAAAAUUAUUUCUCUACUGUUUUGGAGAGUACAAAAAUGGUACAAUGAUGUGGUAUAGUCAAAUUUCAUUUUCAAUGUGGGGGGGAAAAGUGUCCACCUGUUCCCCCCUCUUAUUUUGCUUAUAUAUCGGUUAUGGUUGAGGUACAAAAAUUUUUGUUGGUGGUACAAAAAGGUACAAAAAUGGUACAAAAAUGCUGUCCAAUCAGAUUUCAAUUUCAUCGUUGGGGGGGAACAGGUGGACAGAGCCGAGAGUGAUCAUAUACAAUUCAACAAGAAAAGUGUCAUAUCUCAAGUUGAGUCACUUUUCUUGCUUAGUUUUCUAUUCCAUUAUCCUGCUGUGAGCGUCACAUCUGGACUUAUGCCAUUAUUCUUGAUUCAAGGCUACUGCAAUGGCUUCAUCUCGUGGACAACUAAUGGUGGAUUUAGUCAAAACCAGAGGUCAGUCGAGCUCAAAGGAUGAUGUCAAUUCUACAACUACUAAGGCUGAAGACAAACACAAAGCUGCAACAUACUCAAUC